AUUGAACGCUGGCGGCAGGCCUAACACAUGCAAGUCGAGCGGAUGAAGGGAGCUUGCUCCUGGAUUCAGCGGCGGACGGGUGAGUAAUGCCUAGGAAUCUGCCUGGUAGUGGGGGAUAACGUCCGGAAACGGGCGCUAAUACCGCAUACGUCCUGAGGGAGAAAGUGGGGGAUCUUCGGACCUCACGCUAUCAGAUGAGCCUAGGUCGGAUUAGCUAGUUGGUGGGGUAAAGGCCUACCAAGGCGACGAUCCGUAACUGGUCUGAGAGGAUGAUCAGUCACAUGGGAACUGAGAACGGGCCCAGACCCCAAGGGGAGGCAGCAGGGGGGAAUUUGGGAAAAGGGGAGAAAGCCUGAUCCAGCCAUGCCGGGGGGGUGAAGAAGGUUUGCGAAUUGUAAAGCACUUUAAGUUGGGAGGAAGGGAAGUAAGUUAAAACCUUGCUUUUUUGACGUUACCAACAGAAAAAGCACCGGCUAACUUCGU
rnacentral:rRNA from 1 species